CGCCCGUCGCUCCUACCGAUUGGGUGUGCUGGUGAAGCGUUCGGAUCGGCUGCAUUGUGCGGUUCGCCGCUUGACGUAGCUGAGAAGUUCGUUAAACCCUCCCACCUAGAGGAAGGAGAAGUCGUAACAAGGUUUCC
rnacentral:rRNA from 1 species